UACGGGGGGAGCAAGCGUUGUUCGGAUUUACUGGGCGUAAAGGGCGCGUAGGCGGUCAGCACAAGUCAGUUGUGAAAUCUCCGAGCUUAACUCGGAAAGGUCAACUGAAACUGUGCGACUAGAGUGCGGAAGGGGCAACUGGAAUUCUUGGUGUAGCGGAGAAAUGCGUAGAUAUCAAGAGGAACACCUGCGGCGAAGGCGGGUUGCUGGGCCGACACUGACGCUGAAGCGCGAAAGCCAGGGGAGCGAACGGG
rnacentral:rRNA from 1 species